GAAACCGUGGAUAAGGGGCACUACGCUACAAAGCAUCUGGGUUGCUAAGGCCGCACCCAACAGGAGAAGGCUCAGAGGAGGCUCAUCUCCUCCAGCUGCUCCUGAGAGUCCACUUCACCUGUCCUGUGUCCCACUGACCUGCUGACCUACUGACCUCUCUGAAACGUCCUACCACCCCUCUCAGGCUUGGUCUGCUCUGUGCCCCCCACACCACCCCCUCAGCCCUUUUCCUACCCAACUUCUCUCUUUUUUACCACACCCCUCCCUGUCCCCAUUCUCAGUUCCAACCCUGCCCACACCCAGACCCCCUCCCCACCCCUGUCCCGCCCCCACCUCCUCCCUGGCACCUUGAGUGCCGCCUGAGAGAACCAGGACAUGGAGGCGCAGAGGCUGCUCUUCCUCUUGCUGGGGUCUCCUGGUCACCGAAACUCGACUGAAGGGUGUAUUUUUGGAUAUUUUUCAAAGGAUUAUAGCCAAGUAGUUCAUGGAGACACAAAAGAAAACCUAGGCUUCCAUUCCAAGUGAUAAAAUUCAACUUAUCAAAAGAAAGGUGUGAUUGAGAGAGAUUCCGGCCCAGCAUUAGACACAAGAACUGGUAGGGUCCCAGGUGAACUGGAAAUUGAGCCCUGCUUCAAGAUGCUGCCUACCUGGGAACUGCUCUAUUGGCCAUUUACUUCUGGAACACUGUCCUUGCUUCAUGUUGAAGACUCCCCAUUUACAGGAAGAUUCGGAAUCACUACACCUGGGACGGCACCGGAACCUGCUCGCACCCCUGGGGCUUCUGAUGCCUGUGCGCUGAGGACUGGUGAGCAACACUAGGAGGCAGCAGAGCAUUGUGGGAAGAAUGUGUGUUCUGCGAUCAGACUGUCUACUUUAAAAUCCUACUUCAGUCACUCAUUUGCUGUGCAAUGGAAGCUGUCUGUGCCUUAGAUUCUUCUGUAAAAAAAAAAAAAAAAAAAGGUGGUAAUAAUAAUAUCAGCCUCAUUAGAUUGCAAUGAGAAUUAAGAGAGAACACAUUUAGGACACAGCACCAUGUCUGGCGCCUACUAUGUGCAGUCGUUGUUGUUGGUGGCAUGUGUGGUACUCUUGCAGCGCUGUUGUAGGGGGCUCUUUUUCAUAAAGAGUGAGGCUGUAGCCCAGAUCUAGAAUUUCAUGGGGUAGAAAUACAUCUAUUUUCAUUUCUGGAGUACUUUUCCUCCCAGGGGACUGGGCAAGCCUUGUACUAUGAAACAGCAUGUCAGGCUAAGGGAGAGGGUGAAGAAUAUGGAGGAGAAGAAAUGCAAGGAUUUUGGUUUGGGGUCAUAAGGAACUGACAAUUUGUCAAGCACACAACUCUAAAAGCAAAAGAUGUCUUCACUUAGAAACUUUGUCACAGGUAUGUACUAUUUGUAGUGAAUUAUUUCCUAUUUUAUGCAGUGUAAUGGAACUUUGAGUUUGUGAGAUUUAUUUUUAAAGUGUGCGGAAAAAUGCAGAAAAUUAUACCACUUCUCUUGUGUACUAUGUAAGUACAGAUAUGUUUAUAUUAGCAUUUCAGAAAAAAUGCACAAAACUCAUAAUUCAUGAAAGACAGUAAGCAGGUGAACGAACAGAUCUUGUAACUGGAAGGGACUUUACAAGUCUCUGAUCCAGGUCCAUAACUUUAUAUACAGGUGGUCUUUAUUAAUUACCAUUUUUACAACAAAAUAGUUGGGGUUAGUGAUAUUCCAACGUCACAUGGAAAAUAUUAGAGAUAUAACUAGAAUUUGAGUUUUCUGCAUGUUUUUGAGCUGGAUAAAUUGACAUGGGGAUCAGGAACUGGGAGUGUGUGGUGGGACAAAACAGACCUUGAAGGAGAACCACAAGCAUACUUGAAGGAUCUGGGAAAGCUCUCAUUCCUGUCCAUUGUACUUUUCAGUGAGUGAGGUCUGAUGUCUGUUCGGUGAAGGAAGGCUCGCUGGUCAUCUUCAGUUUCCAUAAGGAGCAUCAUGUGGGUAAAUCAUCAUUGUCUGAGGUUUUAUUGGUAUAGAAACCUGACAUGUGGGUACAUUGAGAAUGGAAUCAUCUCUCACAGGCACAUUAGCAUGGACCAGACUCAGAACAAUGCCAAAUAAAGCUAUUUACUAAUUUAUACUGAGAAACUUAACCAUCAAUGAGACAGGCACUACAUUCUCCCAUCAGCACAUUCCCACCCUAUAUAAGGAUGUUGAGCAUGGAAGGAAGGACAUGGUGAUUUAGGAUGAUUUUAAUGGAUAUGUCAUGGAGCCUUGAUAUGAUGGAUGCACGCAUCUCCAUCCACACAGACACCUGGUGCACUGAGCAGAGUGGCCUGGGGUACUGUGUCCGGGGCUGGUGAUAUAGAUCGGCUGCCAAAUCAGCCUGACUUUCCAUUUCCUGUGUUUUCAAACUUGACUCAACUCUUUCCCACAAUGAGCUGUUAUUUCUAUAAAUAUGUUAUUACCUUCCUGCAGUCAAUUUGCAGCGGAGUCUUGGCUUGGGGACCUGCCUUUUUUAAAGGUGUCUUUGCAUCUCUUUAAUCUAUUAUAUGCAUGCUUUUUACAAGUGUGAUUCUCAGAUAGAAAUUUUAUAUAUUUCCUCAUUUCCAGAAUUUUUUUCAGGGCAACUUUAUGACUGACUCCAUGUACUGCCUACCAUUUCAGAAAGACCUGACUCAAAUUUUUUUCCUUGAAACGUCCUUAAACAUAUACGUCAAAAAUAUAAUGUGUUCCUGAUACUUGUGUCCAAAUAGAUAUAAGUUCUAAACGGGGUAAAAGAGCUAAUAAAUGUUAGAUGUCCUCAAAUAUGAUGUGAUUUACUAUGUGCCAAGAUGGAAAUACAUCCAUGAAUAUACUGCUAUUUACAGCACAAUAAUGGAGAAACUCCAGGUUAUGAAUCAAACAGGGCGUUGGAGAUUCUAAAAAUGAGUCCAUUGUACUAUCAAAUCCUACAGGAGUAACUUGGAUUUUUUUCCUGAAGACUUAUUCCUUUGAAUAAUCAUGAUGAGCAUUGUAGAUGUGG